rnacentral:tRNA from 1 species
GCCGGGAUAGCUCAGCAGGUCAGAGCAGCGCUCUUGUAAAGCGAAGGUCGCGGGUUCGAAUCCCGCUCCCGGCUCCA